rnacentral:rRNA from 1 species
GACGAACGCUGGCGGCGUGCCUAAUACAUGCAAGUAGAACGAGUGGCGGACGGGUGAGUAAUGCUUGGGAAUCUAGCUUAUGGAGGGGGAUAACUACUGGACACUGUAGCUAAUACCGCGUACCAUAGGAUGAGCCCAAGUGGGAUUAGGUCGUUGGUGAGGUAAAGGCUAACCAAGCCGACGAUGUCUAGCUGGUCUGAGAGGAUGACCAGCCACACGGGGACUGAGACACGGCCCAGACUCCUACGGGAGGCAGCAGUGGGGAAUAUUGCGCAAUGGGGGCAACCUGACGCAGCCAUGCCGCGUGAAUGAAGAAGGCCUUCGGGUUGUAAAGUUCUUUCGGUAGCGAGGCGUUAACUACAGAAGAAGCACCGGCUAACUCCGUGCCAGCAGCCGCGGUAAUUC